GUCAUAGGUUGAUGUGGCUGACGGGACUGGAUCCGGUGUGUGUGAACAGGGCUCCCAGUGUGAUCCCAGCUGCUCCCAGUACAGCCAGUCCAACCACUGUCCUCAGAGACCAGGACCAGGGCCUGACUGGAGGUCUGGACUCACCG